GCACGAGAGACAAAUGCUGAGUCUUUUGAUACCCUGAAAGAAAAGUUGAAUGAAAGGGAAAGUGAAGUCCAGCAGUUGAAAUCGAAAAUGUCCACGAUGAAUAUUGAAUCUUCUGUAAAAAAAGAAGAUGUUAUGCAUGUUAGGUCAACACCGAGUGAUCUUGAAAAAGAAUUAAAUGAUAAACAAGAUCAAAUUGAUUCUAUAUUAGAGGAACUCAGUGAGCUGACAACAGAGAAUGACGUUUUAAAUGGAGAGAUAGCACAUUUGAAGAUUCAGAACAAAAUGUAUGAUGAAGUUAAAAAAGAGUUCGGGUCUUUAAAUGAUCAAAAUCAUAAAUUGCUGACCGAAAACAGUAAAAUGGUUAAAACUAUUGAGGAGCUUCACCAGAAAAUGCUGAAUGUAGGCAGUCACGACGAGUCGUUUUUAAACGAAGAAAGAGAACACGUUGCACGAGAGAAAGACACUUUAUUACAGAACAUAAAACAACUAGAGAAAAAUUGCGAAGAACUUGGCCAGAAAAAUUCGAACUUAAGUCUGGAGCUUCUCUCUAACGAAGGUUUAAUACAACAGCUAAGGUUUGAUAAUGAGACAAUGAGAGCCCAGCUAGGCAUUGCUCAGAGUGGGCAAAUUCAAAUGGAAAAUUUCCAUGAUGACUAUCAACGUCUUCAAGGACAGUUUUCAACAGCAAUGGAUCAGAAAAACAAGGCACAAUCUGAACUUAACCAGAUGGCUCAUAGACUACAACAGAGAGAUGCAAGAUGUCAGCAGCUGGCAAUGCAGAUAAGUCAAUUGGCCGAAGACAGAAGCUAUCUCAACAUUCAGUUAGGAAACCUGUCAAAGUCUUUGAGGGAAAAAGAAACUGAGCUGGCAACACUGCAGCAACAGUAUAGGAUACUUUACCAAACACACCUGUCAUUGCAAACUAAGCUGCUUGAGUCAGAGACAAAAACCAUUAACAUCGCCAUGCAGAGAGCAUCGUCCGUGGAAAUAGCAGAGGCUUCUGAGAAGCCCAUAAUUCCUGAGAAAACACGGGUAACAAUGACAACUGCCGAGACAUCAGAAGCAGAUGAAAUAAAACUUCUACGUUCCAAGCUGCAAGAGACAGAACUGGUGCGAGAGCGACUAAAUGAUCAACAUUUGGCACUUGAGAAAUCCCUUAGAAUGGAACAGGAACAGCGUCAACAGCUGGAGGAAACUCUCAACACAAUGCAGGAGCAGGCCAAGCUGACUGCAGAAAAUAGAGAGUUCCAAAUUCAAAUGGAGGAAGAAGACGACAGGAUUCUGGAGAGCAGUCCCAUGCUAAUGAGAAGCGAGGCGGGUUAUACACAGAGAGUAUGCAACUGGUUAAGGGUUCGUCGGGAAUACCUCUGCUUUUCCAGCCGAAAUCUAAAUCGCGUGAUGCGCAUGCGCCCUGGAAUCCGAAAGAUAAUUUGGGGAUACUUCAUUCUUCUUCACAUCCUGGUCUUUGGUUGUAUGUUUGGAUUAUUAUGAUGGACCAUCCGAUUGAAGAGACAAUUUAAAGCAUACAAUUAGUUUUUCGUUAACAUCUUUGAUUUGUAUAUAUGUGUAUAAGGUUUGUCAAGAAAUUAUCUAUCAGUAUAAUUUGCCUUAGUGUAGGCAAAUUGUGCAUUGCAUGUUAUAAAUAUUGUCGUUUUUCUCUUGCUCUGAGGCAUUGACAAUCUUGUAAAAUAAUAUGAAUAUUUCACAAUGCUUUAUUACUUAUGCCAAUGCAUUGCCCAUACUUUGUUUUAUAAUUGUCAUUCCAAACUAGCAUUUAAACAUAUCGUUUGUAAAAACAUAUUUUGUAGAUAUAAUUGUGCACUGAGUUCCGGCAUUCCAUUAUCAUUCUUUUGUUUAUUCUUGUUCAUAUUAGAUGUGUUUUAAUGUAAAUCAUGAUUCGAUUUAAAGUGUAAAUAUGUAAAUUACCUUUGUUUUCUUAUCCUGGAAUUCAGAUUGUUAAUGUCCUAUUGCAUUUGUUUCUUAGGAUUUUCUAUAUUUUUAGUGGGGAGAUUCGAGUCUCACUGCUAAGCAUUGCAUAUCAUAAGAACGAUGCCAUUAUGUGAUAUAAAUUAUUUUUGCAAGAAU
rnacentral:misc_RNA from 1 species